GGUAAAUCUGCUAAUCUGGUGACUCGGUCCCUCUGGUCACUAUUCUCCAACCCUCGAUUGUCAGCUGAAUAUUCAGGGAAGAUUUUUAUGGAAGCGUAUUAACCAGACACACACUUUUUGCUCUCCAUAAUCUUCUGACAAUGUAUUCAAAAUGCUCUGUAUUUAUACAAUAUUUGUCACGAAUAUUGGUUACAAAAGGUUACAAAAAGGUUACAAAAAGGUUACACAAGAUACAUAAAAGAGGAAGCAGUUUCUGCUGUUACAUUCAAUAAUCUAAUCUUACAAAAUAUUACAUAUACAUUGUGGUUAGGCAUUUCCUGAUACAUAGAAACUGUCAUAGCUUGUGACUUCCUUUCAGUUAUGUUUUGCAAGCAGUUCUGAAAUACUGACAGAUUAAUUGUUUAACCCCUUAAGGACCAAAUUUCUGGAAUAAAAGGGAAUCAUGACAUGUCAUGUGUCCUUAAGGGGUCAAUAUUCCUUCAUUUCCCCCUCUUUGAGCAAUAUCUUGCUCAUACCCUAUUUAAGGAGUCCUGGUCAGACAACCAGCCAUUUGCCAUGGUAUAUUCAGGAUUGCUAGCCAAUCCUGCAGGUCUUUCAUUAUGUCUUCGGCCACUAUUCCCAUAGCAUAGGACUAGGCAUCUGACCAGUACCACAAACUUAUAGAUCUGUAUCAGCAUGUUCACCAUUGCUUCGGUUAUGUAUAUACAUUUGGAGAUACUCAUCAUAGCAAGCUGGGGAUUUUACAGGAACAGUGUUGCGUGUAUGUUUGCAAAUGCAGAAUACAAUAAUCUUGAAAAUAGCAUAAACAAGUAGAGCAAGGAUCAGAACCAUAACAAUAAUUAUUGCAAUAUUCUUUAGCCAGUCUAGGAUACUGUCAAACUUAAACAUAUCUGCCCAUGGGUGAUCAAUACCUGAAUUCCUCUUCAUUUCUAUGGACAGGUCUUCUAAUUUCUUUAUAGCUAGGGUUACUUUACCAUUAGGGCCAGUGUUCUCUGGAAUAUAGGUACAACAAACACCGGAGUCAAGUAAUUUACAGACUCCUCCCUUUUCUGCUAAAAUCAUAUCAAGGGCCAUUCUAUUCUGGAAAGUCAUUUGUGAGGUAGCCUGUAAUUGUUCAGCAAGACCUUGUAAUGCAUCUUGUGUAUAAUUUACAAAUCUUUGCUGAUUAUAAUAUAUAUAAUUAAUCCAGUUAACAUUCUUGUUAGCUGUUAUAAUGGGAAAUAUUGAUUCAAAUCCUGCUGCCACCUCGUCUCUAGCUUUAAAUUCAUUAGGAACCCCUCUUGGAAUACCAAUGGCAUCUAGAUAGAUAUGUGGGUCGAAACUACCUUGUGGGGAUCCCCUUUCCUUCUUGUGGAAUCAGUUACAACCUUAAUUUCAGGGAGAGAGUCGCCAAAUAUAUGGAGGGGCAUGAUUAUUUUGGCUGGGGCACAUUCUCCUCUCCAGGGGGUGGGGAGUCUAGAACGUAUUUUCAUAUCUCCACAUAUUCAAUAAACAUCUCCCACAGAUUGUGUUUGAUUCACUAAGGUACAGAAUCCUGAAGAGAAGUUAUCAAAUUGUGUACCCACCUUACCAUUAUUAUUUCCCUGAAAACAAGUAUAAUUACCAGGAUAUACUGGGACAACAUCAUUUAAAUUAAACUUGGGUUCACCAAUAGGGUGACCCUUUUUCCAUUCUUCACAUUCUGUAGUAUUAACAGUGAUACCUGAAAACAAACUUAGGAAACAUUCCCAGUACUCAUCAGGGACAUGUAAGGGUACAGUUCCUAGAUGAGGUCUGGCACUACCACAUACAUAACAGUUUGACCUAUUGUUGGAAUGGGCAUUAUAUCUCAUCCAUUCCAGCCAUAGGUUUGUAUCUGUAUACCCUGUUUCUAACGCUAUGGUAUCUCCAAACGUGGGAUCUGCUAUGGCCAUCAUAUUACCAAGGGUCUGAAUGUGGGGCUUUAGAGGAUUAACAAGAGUUUGUCUAGAGGUGAGGCUUUCCCAUUUUGAGGAGUUCCAUAUAUCUUUUAACUGGAUUUUUCCUCGAUUACCUCCAAUACCUCUUCUUAAAAAGGUACUGAGAAUAUAAAUACCUUGAUCUCCAGGACUGGGGUUUCCAAUAUUUAAGGUAAAUUUCAUGAAGUGCCCAGUUUGCCCUAUAGGGGUACAUGUACCUAGCUUUGUUAGGGUCAUUCUAGUCAAGAGGGACUUCCCAUUCGUAUCCUUUUUAUCUAAUGCAUUCUGUGGCUUAUAACCCCAAUCUGUCCCGGUGUUCCAUCCAACUGAGCCCCAAUAAUUACAAUUGUUACCCCUCUUUGAGCAAUAUAUAUUGCUCAUAUCAUCGGUUAACAUUCUCCCAAGACAGAGAAAUGUCCAGAUUAUGGCAUUCCCAAGCAAUCAUGUGGUCUACAAGAAACAGAAACUCAGCAGAAAAAAAACAAAACAAAAACCACUUAAUACUUUUGCAGACAGAUAUAUAGAAAAUGGAUGUUUAAGACAGAAUGGAACUUGGGCUUAUAGCAACUAUAUUUUUGCACAACCAGGACCUUGCGUCCUAUAUUUUUUAACCAUUUCCCUAUUCCAAAAGUCCAGUCAAAACCAGUCAUAUCCUCACGCAGUUCCUCAAAACAUGGUAAUCCAUCCCUGGCACACUCAACAUAUAUCAAAAACACACAUAGUACAUCCAUCCCUGGGUCAGCUAACACUUCCUCUCUCUCUGGCUAACUCUACAAAAAUAAAAAUAGUUCAAUAGUUCAGCAUAGUUCAGAAAAAUAGAAUAAGUCUUUCACAGAGUAUAAAGAAAUCAGUUUAGACACCAGACAUUUUGUUCCAUAAAAAUGGCUAAGGGUAGCAAUAUGGCUGACAACAAGACAAUGUCAGCUUCCAUAUAGUUCUUAGUUCUUCUUUUGUUUGCUGGAUUUUCACCACAAAGCUCUGUACAACACCCCAAUGGUUGAAAGGGUUAUUACAGAACCAGCGGUAUUAGACAGCACUGCACCUUCAGGACUUUCCAGGUUCUUGCGUGCAAAGUUUAUGUCCUCAUAAAUAAGUAUCUCAGUUUCUUCGGCCUGCAUGGAUAAUGACCAAACAGACGUAAUUGCAAAAUCCUUAUUGCAUGGUCAGCCAGAGAGAUUGGUGUGUAGUCCCAGAAAUCAGGCGGCACAAACACUCCAGGACGGUCUCUACAAACAUACAAACACAAGGAUCAAUACAACAUUAAUUAAUUACCUAGGCUAAAACUUAAAUUAGAGAUUAAGGUUAAACCCUUAAUUUGUGUAACAUGUACUUCUCUUAUAAUUUAUGCAAUCUGUCUUCUAUGAAGUUUUACAUUAUAUCCCUUUGGAAUGCCUUUGUACGGAUGAGAGUAGCACUCACUCUAUAGAAAUCCUUGUUAGGAUGAAUAUUAAAACACUAACAUAUACAUAUGGGGCUAAUUCCCAAUAAAACUCUGUUCCUAAACUGGAACCUUGAUUUGAUAUUCAAAAUUAAUUACUUUAAUACUCGCGAAUAAUUCAAUACUCUUGGAUUAACACCUAAAACUAUAUAAAAUAUUACAAACAUGAACCAUCUGUUUAUUAGGCUGGGGUUGUUGGGUGUGGGUAUAGGUUGGAAGCUAUGGUUGGUAUUGAGGAAUCUGUGGGGGUGGGUUUGGGCACUCAUUUUUCCAGUGACCCUGCUAUCCACAAUUAGAACAGUGUGUUCCACCAAUGCUGAAGUUGUUACCUCUACAAAAGUUAGACCCUUUGACCAAAUCCUCUACCUCUGCCUUUAUUCCAUAUGCAGGAUGGGAUUACCUAACUCACACCCCCCUCUUUGUGUACCACACAGAUAUAAUAUUAAUAAGCUUUUAAAGGCUGAAUGGAUAGUUAAAUUGUGUAUAAAAAGCAAGGUUGUCUAGGGGUAUAUACAUCGACAAUGAAAGCAUAGCCUUCAUAUAGGGCUUGCAAUACUGACAGUCUGUGUCAUGAGCAUAAUGCAGACAUGCGGUUAGGUACUUUUCCAUUAUUAUAAUAUAUUGAAAACACUAAGACCUUGCAAAUUUUUAAAACACAUAUUGCUACCUGUACCUGGUGCCAUGCAAGGAUGUAAUUGGGACAUAUUUCAAAUUGAGUAUCAAAAGUCUAACCAUAAAACUAAAUGUUAUACGCUUAUCAAGAACACAAGUUUAACCCGUUAGUGCGUACUUUGGAUAGCCUCUUUGCAUAAUUUGGCACAUAGUGAGAUUAUUAUAUUAUUUAUUAAUGCUCUUCUGGAUCUGCAAAAUGCUUUCAAUUUACCCAUACAAAUAUAAUACAGUAGUUUAGGAGAUUAAAAUUACCUCACUUAUAAAUUUCAGAAAUUGUCUAAUCUCCAUUAAAAUACCAUUUUAUUAUUACCCCAUAAUCAAGGUGGCAUACUAGAUGAAUCUUACUUUGACACAAACAAUGCAAUAUACUUUAAAAGUAGAGUUAACUCUGAGCUGGACAAUACUCCCCUAUUAGAACUCCUUUAUGAGGGAGAGACAUCUUGUCCAUUCAAUCCUUUUUAUCAGUAAAAGAAUGACUUUCAGGAUUAAUCAGUUUGCAAAUGGAAAUGUGGAGCCACGAUUUGAACAGCAGAAGUUUGCGGGGCCCCUUUCACGUGGGAUGUAACAAGCGCUUUUCUUGCUCCAUGAGCGAUAGCAUACAAUUGUUUCAUUCUAGCCGGCUGGACAGCAUUUCACCUUUUGUAAAAACACUAAAUGCUUGCGUUAAUGAUAUGCAAAUCACUCUGCUAGUUAAACUCCUACACAAUGGACAAUAAAAUACAUAAAACACAUAACACACCAAUUCAUUUCAAACCAUAUAACUCAUACUCAGCAUCCGAUGUAAUAUUACAUGUCAUCAUCUCACAAAACAGACGUAGUAGAUACACGUAUCGGGUACCCAGCAGAUAUGCCAAUAUAGAAAACACAUUCAUGAGCACACAACUACACACUCUGUGUCCCUCCUAGCAAACACGGGUAGACACAAUAUGAAAGCAGUCUUAAACUAACACCUCCAAAUCUCCAUUCCCAUAUAGCUAUAUCAGACCACAACAUAGAGCCUCUCUGAG